rnacentral:tRNA from 1 species
GUCCCCAUAGCUCAGCUGGAUAGAGCGUCAGCUUGCGGAGCUGAAGGUCGGAGGUUCAAAUCCUCCUGGGGACG